GGGGAAAGCGUGUUGAGAAGGAAAAUACAAAUGAACCGUCAGUGGCUAAACUUUGAGGUACAAUUAGGGGCCAAUUGUCAUCUAUGGUUAUGUGACGUUAUGGGCUAGUUUCAAACUAUUUUUUAACGAAUUUUAAGAGCAACAUGCAAUUAGUUUCCAAUUCUAUUCCAAGAAAUGAAGGAAAAUUGACUUCCCCUUCCCAAGCCGUCACCAAACCAAAGGAUAAAAUAAACUGCUGUGGCUUUGAAUGUAGAGUUGAGUAGAUGCUCUUGAAUGAUUGUUUCCACCUCAUUCUUCAAUGAUAGUUAAUGAGGGCACAGACCACUAAUAAGCAGUGGAAGCAGCUUCUAGGCUAAGCUUAAAUUGGGCCUUCAAAUCUAAUCAAAAUUAGUCACUGCUGAGAAGAAACCAAAUGUGGUGUGUCCAUUCGGAUGUGGAGUUUGGAGAGGCCCUCCUUGUUUUCCAGGCUGUGAGCCAUGGGAAGCGUGUCAACCAUGUCAAACCAAAGGAUCAAGAAAUUGAAGAUUCCGUUCACUUGCCUUGGAGUUUGAGAGCACCCGGGACAUCUGGGAUUUGCUUCCUCGAAUCUCCAGCUUGCAUGGUCCUCUGAUGAAGAAAGGAGAGAGCAGGAAAAAAAAAAAUGGAAGAGGAGGACAGAGAAAAAAAAUUCAGUCUCCAGACCAGUGCCAAGGAGCCAAAGAGAAGAAAUGAGAAUAACCAAGGUAUGCUGUGUCCAAUUAAUUAACUAUUAGCAAACAAAGGACCAAACAAUGUGACUGUAAGCUUCAUGACAGCAGGGAGUUUGUAUAUCUUUUCACCUGUGUAUCGGCAGUACCUAGCACCAUACCUGGCACAUUGUAGAUAAUAUAUAUUUGUGGAAUAAAUGAAUGAAUGAACAAUUAAAAAAUACAUUUGACUGUUUCCUAGUUUGCAUUUUCUUGAGUGGCAGAGAGAGUAAUGGACUUUUAGUUAGUGCCCUUGGAAUGCCCGCAGGGACGUAUCUCCAGAAGGAACUCAUUCUCUUGCAUUGGAAG
rnacentral:lncRNA from 1 species